AGUCGGACGCUUAACCGACUGCGCCACCCAGGCGCCCCUCUCCUUUAUUAUUUUAAUGAAUUAUGCUGAUUCCCUGAUGUUGAAUCAUCCUUGCAUUCCUAUAAUAUUUGCUUGGCUGUUCUCCUACAUUGUAUCACUUGAUCAUUGCAACAGUGCUGUGGAGGGCACUGUUACCACCCAGGACCAAAGGAAACUGAAGCUCUGAACAAUUAAGUAUUUACUCAAAGUUACACAAGAAGUAGCUCCAAGCUCUCUCCCUGGAUUCAUCUGAGUUGAAGUUCAGAGCCUCUCUGAGACACUCUGCAAGAGAUGGAGAGAACAGUGUGGCCCCAGUGCAAGGCAAAUGCCUACUUCAAAGGAAGAUGAAGUGACUGUCGCUGUAUUCUCACCAGAGAGGAAGGAAGAAAGGAAGACUUUUUUGUGUGCCCAUUGCUUGGAGUUUACUAGUUUACUGCUAUAUUGAUAUUCACUCUUGUAUACAGAGAAGAGAGAAGGAAGGAAGGGGAAUAAAGAGAAACAAGGAGGCUCAUCAGUUCUGUCCCAAAUCAAAUCAACCAAACGUAUGUGAAAUUUGUACAAAGUAUUUACCUGUUAACUUUUAUGUGAUACUUGUAUUAAAAGUUAACAAUAGUAUAAUCAUUUUCCUUUCAAAAGCCUCUGAAGUUUCAGGCUGGUUUAGAUUGCAUUUUCAGAGUCCAUGGUAUUAACAAAAAUGUAGAUAUUAAUUAAA